ensembl:lncRNA
UGGGGGUGUUCAUGUUAAUAAUCACAUUUGCUAACCUGUCGUUCUUUGAACUCUCUGAAAAGUUCGGGGUGUCUGUCUGAUAGGUGCUUAGCCAUAUUCGACAUGUUCCCUCCCUUUGCCUGAGUGGAUUUGAAGGGUCUGUGUGUGUCCAUGGGUUUUCCUUGGUGUCUGCUUCGUACCCGAAGUAUUUGCAUGUGUGAGAGCUGGGAAGCCCCGCCCUUGCAGUCAAUGCGUGCAGGCAGCCCGACAGGGAGCGGAACAGUGAGUGCGCUCUGAUUGCGUGCUUUUUUAAUGAAGUACAGGUACCAAAAAUAUGCAAAAUCGUAUCGUUUUUAACGUAAGGGUACCAUGGUACUUUUCUAGUACCGGUACACCGUGCAACACUAGUCACAUAUUUGUUUGACUCUAAAGUCAUAUAUGUCGGUCUCUGAUAUACUCAUCUGUCUGGCUUUUAAAUAACAAAUAUAUGUCAUCUAGUUUAAUAUCUCAGUCAUGGCCUCAAAUGUUCUGGAAAAAAACAGUGGUAUUAGCCUCUCCUGACACGAGAAGUUAGAAGUGCAACACUAGCCACCCUGAGAAUACAAAUCAACUCAUCUAACAUAUACCUGUCUCAACACCACCAAAAAACUCAGCCACUGACCAUACAAAUAAACACUUUGCAGGGACCUGUUAUUCCUUCGUUAUCACUCUGUGUAGUUCAUGUGUGGGUGAUAUAGACAGUAAGCCCCUUUCACAGUAUGUUCACUCUUUAAUAUGUAGCACAACGAAAGGUUUACAUCAAAGUUCAAAAUGUUUAUCUCAACUGCCCAAAAGAAACAGAAAUGAAAUAAAGUAAUGUCGGAUGAACAGAACUCAUUCAACCUGACAAAUAACUGAAAUGUUUGUGCUGUCCCCAAAGACAAGAGCUCAGAAGAGGAGUCAGACGCUGGGGACAAAGACAAAGACGCAGAAAUGAAGGACGAAGACAAAAAGGCCAAAGACAAAGACGCCAAAGACAAGAGCUCAGAAGAGGAAUCAGACGCUGAGGACAAAGACAAAAAGGCCAAAGACAAAGACGCCAAAGACAAGAGCUCAGAAGAGGAGUCAGACACUGAGGACAAAGACAAAAAGGCCAAAGACAAAGACGCUAAAGACAACAGCUCAGAAGAGGAGUCAGACGCUGAGGACAAAGACAAAAAGGCCAAAGACAAAGACGCCAAAGACAAGAGCUCAGAAGAGGAGUCAGACGCUGAGGACAAAGACAAAAAAGCCAAAGACAAAGACGCCGAAGACAAGAGCUCAGAAGAGGAGUCAGACGCUGAGGACAAAGACAAAAAGGCCAAAGACAAAGACGCCGAAGACAAGAGCUCAGAAGAGGAGUCAGACGCUGAGGACAAAGACAAAAAGGCCAAAGACAAAGAUGCCAAAGACAAGAGCUCCGGCAGCCAGGAGGCAGGGGCCUCCACCAAAGAAGAUGGAGAUUCCAUCAGUGACGAAGA